rnacentral:piRNA from 1 species
UAGAAAUGAAUGUCAACAGAGAUGGCA